CCUAACACAUGCAAGUCGAACGGUAACAGGAAGAAGCUUGCUUCUUUGCUGACGAGUGGCGGACGGGUGAGUAAUGUCUGGGAAACUGCCUGAUGGAGGGGGAUAACUACUGGAAACGGUAGCUAAUACCGCAUAACGUCGCAAAACCAAAGAGGGGGACCUUCGGGCCUCUUGCCAUCGGAUGUGCCCAGAUGGGAUUAGCUAGUAGGUGGGGUAACGGCUCACCUAGGCGACGAUCCCUAGCUGGUCUGAGAGGAUGACCAGCCACACUGGAACUGAGACACGGUCCAGACUCCUACGGGAGGCAGCAGUGGGGAAUAUUGCACAAUGGGCGCAAGCCUGAUGCAGCCAUGCCGCGUGUAUGAAGAAGGCCUUCGGGUUGUAAAGUACU
rnacentral:rRNA from 1 species